rnacentral:rRNA from 1 species
UGGCGAACGGGUGAGUAACACGUGGGUGAUCUGCCUUGCACUUCGGGAUAAGCUUGGGAAACUGGGUCUAAUACCGGAUAGGACAGCUGUUUAGUGUCAGUUGUGGAAAGUUUAUUCGGUGCAAGAUGAGCUCGCGGCCUAUCAGCUUGUUGGUGGGGUAAUGGCCUACCAAGGCGUCGACGGGUAGCCGGCCUGAGAGGGUGUACGGCCACAUUGGGACUGAGAUACGGCCCAGACUCCUACGGGAGGCAGCAGUGGGGAAUAUUGCACAAUGGGCGGAAGCCUGAUGCAGCGACGCCGCGUGGGGGAUGAAGGCCUUCGGGUUGUAAACUCCUUUCGACAGGGACGAAGCGUAAGUGACGGUACCUGUAUAAGAAGCACCGGCUAACUACGUGCCAGCAGCCGCGGUAAUACGUAGGGUGCGAGCGUUGUCCGGAAUUACUGGGCGUAAAGAGCUCGUAGGUGGUUUGUCGCGUCGUCUGUGAAAUUCCGGGGCUUAACUCCGGGCGUGCAGGCGAUACGGGCUGACUUGAGUGCUGCAGGGGAGACUGGAAUUCCUGGUGUACGGUGAAAUGCGCAGAUAUCAGGAGGAACACCGAUGGCGAAGGCAGGUCUCUGGGCAGUAACUGACGCUGAGGAGCGAAAGCAUGGGUAGCGAACAGGAUUAGAUACCCUGGUAGUCCAUGCCGUAAACGGUGGGCGCUAGGU